UCCUCCGCUUAUUGAUAUGCUUAAGUUCAGCGGGUAUCCCUACCUGAUCCGAGGUCAAAAGUUGAAAAAAAGGCUUAAUGGAUGCUAGACCUUUGCUGAUAGAGAGUGCGACUUGUGCUGCGCUCCGAAACCAGUAGGCCGGCUGCCAAUUACUUUAAGGCGAGUCUCCAGCAAAGCUAGAGACAAGACGCCCAACACCAAGCAAAGCUUGAGGGUACAAAUGACGCUCGAACAGGCAUGCCCUUUGGAAUACCAAAGGGCGCAAUGUGCGUUCAAAGAUUCGAUGAUUCACUGAAUUCUGCAAUUCACACUACUUAUCGCAUUUCGCUGCGUUCUUCAUCGAUGCCAGAACCAAGAGAUCCGUUGUUGAAAGUUUUGACUUAUUCAGUACAGAAGACUCAGAGAGGCCAUAAUAAUCAAGAGUCGGGUUUCCUCCGGCGGGCGCCCCGCUAGGGGGCCAGGGGGCACCGGGCGGACCCGGGCCGCCCGCCGAAGCAACGGUUUGAAGGUAACGUUCACAAUGGUUUAGGGAGUUUUGCAACUCUGUAAUGAUCCCUCCGCAGGUUCACCUACGGA
rnacentral:misc_RNA from 1 species